rnacentral:rRNA from 1 species
GAUGAACGCUGGCGACGUGCCUAAUACAUGCAAGUAGAACGCUGAAGCUUGGUGCUUGCACCGAGCGGAUGAGUUGCGAACGGGUGAGUAACGCGUAGGUAACCUGCCUCUUAGCGGGGGAUAACUAUUGGAAACGAUAGCUAAUACCGCAUAAAAGUCGAUAUCGCAUGAUAUUGAUUUGAAAGGUGCAAUUGCAUCACUAAGAGAUGGACCUGCGUUGUAUUAGCUAGUUGGUGAGGUAACGGCUCACCAAGGCGACGAUACAUAGCCGACCUGAGAGGGUGAUCGGCCACACUGGGACUGAGACACGGCCCAGACUCCUACGGGAGGCAGCAGUAGGGAAUCUUCGGCAAUGGGGGCAACCCUGACCGAACAACGCCGCGUGAGUGAAGAAGGUUUUCGGAUCGUAAAGCUCUGUUGUAAGAGAAGAACGAGUGUGAGAGUGGAAAGUUCACACUGUGACGGUAACUUACCAGAAAGGGACGGCUAACUACGUG